AUGCAACUUGUACUCAUACAAAAUACUCUUUCUACUACCGAUGUGUUCUGGACGGCGGAUCGUUUGGAAAGAAGAGGAUGGCCGAACUGUGGCCUGUGUCAGCUUUGUAAGCAGGCGACGGAGAUGGUGGACCAUCUCUUCUUCAGAUGCCGGUUGUCUCUCCGCCUUUGGGGCAUGAUCAAAGGGUGGCUCCAGCUUGACUACCUCGACAUCUCUUCUUGGGCUGGGCAUCGCUCAGUAAAGGAUUGGUGGCUCAGCAUGUCGGCCUUCCAUGCCACGAACCGGAAGGCGAUGGCCUAUCUCACCCUGCUCACUUGCUGGUUUAUAUGGUGUGAAAGAAACGCAAGGGUUUUUCGGCACAAGUCGACGCUCCCGUCCAUUCUGCUCUCCAACAUUCUGGAUGAGAUCGGUCUUUGGGUGCUUGCGGGCGCAAAACAUUUGGGUAGCAUCAUACCGGGAGAGUAG
rnacentral:rRNA from 1 species